rnacentral:rRNA from 1 species
AGUGAACGCUGGCGGCAGGCCCAACACAUGCAAGUCGAACGGCAGCACAGUAAGAGCUUGCUCUUACGGGUGGCGAGUGGCGGACGGGUGAGGCAUACAUCGGAAUCUACUUUUUCGUGGGGGAUAACGUAGGGAAACUUACGCUAAUACCGCAUACGACCUACGGGUGAAAGCAGGGGAUAUUCGGACCUUUCGUGUUUGUAUUAGCCGAUGUCGGAUUAGCUAGUUGGGGUGGUAAAGGCACACCAAGGCGACGAUCCGUAGCUGGUCUGAGAGGAUGAUCGGCCACACUGGAACUGAGACACGGUCCAGACUCCUACGGGAGGCAGCAGUGGGGAAUAUUGGACAAUGGGCGCAAGCCUGAUCCAGCCAUACCGCGUGAGUGAAGAAGGCCUUCGGGUUGUAAAGCCCUUUUGUUGGGAAAGAAAAGCAGCAGGUUAAAACCCCGCUGUUCUGACGGUACCCAAAGAAUAAGCACCGGCUAACUUCGUG